rnacentral:lncRNA from 1 species
AUGUGGCUCAGCUGCCUUCCCAGCUCCCACCAGAGCCUCCAGCAAUGCUGCCUCUUGCUCUUGGCCUCGGAGCAGGCCUGUGCACCUGUCUGGCUUGUACCAAAUCUGCUUCUGAAAGAUGUCCAGGGAGACUGGUGCUUCCUCAUUCAUCUCCCAGCAUUUUUCCAAAGCAAGAGGAGCCUUCACUUUCUGCUACAGAACGAAUUGCUUCCCCCUGCACCGCUGAAACUGCUGUUUGCUGAGUUCCCUUUGUGCCAGGCACUUCCAGAGACUCAGGGCUGGAUCAGGCCUUUCAAAGACUCUCCCGUACACUACUUCCAAGGUUUCAAGGCUCACCUGCUUUUUAGCAAGCCGGCACUUACACCAAUGUUGAUGGAUGCUUUUUCCCUACUUCUUGCUCUUUGUGAAUGAGCUGUUGGCAAGCGCUCCUGACUGCAGCUGCUGAUGCCUUAAUCUCUCUUUAUGGAGAUACGGAGGUUGCCUUCAGCGAGUCCCUAAAGUCCAUUGCUGCAGUGUUGAAAAGCUUGGUUCACUGCAGGAACAGAGCGCAGUCUGCAGAGGCAAGUUCACUGACCUGACGGUGGAGCUGAUUCUGCUGGGACACAUGGGGAGCCAACACCCCCAGCACCUUGCAGCACAUGUCCUGCAGCUGCAGGUCUGGUUGCAGCUGUGUGAGCACGUCUGAGUUAGCUUCAGUUACUGUAUGAAUGCUCCAUCUGGGAUAAACCUGCCUUUUGCACCCCCAUCCUUCAGGAAAAACCAAAGUGUUUGGGCUGAGAUCUCUUUAAUUCUUGUGCUCUGCUGCUGGCUGCAAGACUUGGGGCUGCUUUGAACUGCAGCCUAGAAAGGAGCCUAGAGGUGGAGGAGAGCCACGCUCCCUCCCUGCACAGCCAGGCCUGUGGAGGAGCUGACCUCUGGUUCUUCAGUGCAGAGGAAAAAAAUAUUCAAAGCAGGUUAGGCUUGACCUACAUUCAGUCUUUGCAGUGUGCAAGUUCUCCUCUUCCUGCACUUUUCUCGUGGUGACCUUUUGUUCCUAGGAGGUAGAUUAAGAAGUGCUCUGAGGUAUCACUGUAUGUUUUGUAAAGCAAAAUUUUCCUUCCAACAGGAAAGAAUAAUUUGAAGAUUAUUUCAGUUACAGGAAAUCCCACAGUCGAAUUAAAAAAAGGAAACUUGUUCUUGCAAAGUCUUCAAAUAUCGUAGGAUUAAAUCUCUCUUUAGGGCUGACAUUACGGGUGGGAUGAUUGCCAUUGAUAUCUCAUCUGUGCCAUGUGCUUCAGAAUAGCAUGUUGCACCAAAGUGUCUCUUGCCACCAAUCAGAUCUCAGUGAGUGGAAAAGAAACGUCUGCCUCAGACCGAGUAGGGUGAGCGAAGGGCAGGUGCUGGCAUUGGAGAUGUCAUAGUUACAGCUGGG